UUGCCUGUAGCUCAGAGGAAAGAGCACGGAGCUUCUAUCUCCGUGGUUCGGGGUUCGAACCCUCGAUGACGGACCA
rnacentral:tRNA from 1 species